ACGGAAGGCAGCAGUGGGGAAUAUUGCACAAUGGGCGAAAGCCUGAUGCAGCGACGCCGCGUGAGUGAAGAAGUAUUUCGGUAUGUAAAGCUCUAUCAGCAGGGAAGAAGAAUGACGGUACCUGACUAAGAAGCACCGGCUAAAUACGUGCCAGCAGCCGCGGUAAUACGUAUGGUGCAAGCGUUAUCCGGAUUUACUGGGUGUAAAGGGAGCGCAGGCGGUAUGGCAAGUCUGAUGUGAAAGCCCGGGGCUCAACCCCGGUACUGCAUUGGAAACUACCAAACUAGAGUGUCGGAGAGGUAAGUGGAAUUCCUAGUGUAGCGGUGAAAUGCGUAGAUAUUAGGAGGAACACCAGUGGCGAAGGCGGCUUACUGGACGAUAACUGACGCUGAGGCUCGAAAGCGUGGGGAGCAAACAGGAUUAGAUACCCUGGUA
rnacentral:rRNA from 1 species